GUUGUUCUGCUGUUCUUCUACAAAAAGAGGACUAAUCACUCUGAUGGUUCAAACCAGAGAGGAAACACAGACAUCACCAGGACUGAGAUUAACAUCUAUGAGAACUGC